UACGAAGGGGGCUAGCGUUGCUCGGAAUCACUGGGCGUAAAGGGUGCGUAGGCGGUUUUUUAAGUCAGGGGUGAAAUCCUGGAGCUCAACUCCAGAACUGCCUUUGAUACUGAAAAUCUUGAGUCCGGGAGAGGUGAGUGGAACUGCGAGUGUAGAGGUGAAAUUCGUAGAUAUUCGCAAGAACACCAGUGGCGAAGGCGGCUCACUGGCCCGGUACUGACGCUGAGGCACGAAAGCGUGGGGAGCAAACAGG
rnacentral:rRNA from 1 species